rnacentral:rRNA from 1 species
AACGUAGGAGGCGAGCGUUAUCCGGAUUUACUGGGCGUAAAGCGCAUGCAGGUGGUCAUGCAAGUCGGAUGUGAAAGCCCCUGGCUUAACUAGGGGAGUGCGUACGAAACUGCAUGACUGGAGGUCGGAAGAGGAAAGCGGAAUUCCCGGUGUAGUGGUGGAAUGCGUAGAUAUCGGGAGGAACACCAGUGGCGAAGGCGGCUUUCUGGUCCGCACCUGACACUAAGAUGCGAAAGCGUGGGGAGCGAACGGG